rnacentral:other from 1 species
AUCUACCUGCUGUGUACGAGUCGGAGUUUUCUUGGAUCCACAUUAUAUAAUUAGGGAAUUUUUGUUCGUUUGUGAAAGCGUAUUUUGAGGGCGUUGUCAUGUGCAGUCCAUUAUAUUCAAAAAGUCGGAAGCAAAGACGGGAUACCCACCUGCUUUAAAGCGGGUCAUUAAUGCUCAAUGUUACGGCACAAGUGGGUAUAAA